UGUAGUGACGGGCGCGCGGCCGCGUGAAGACGCAGGAGGCCAGGGGUGGGCUGAAUUACGUGGCGUAAAGGGGCCGUAGGCGGGGGGGUAAGUCGGGAGUGAAAUCUCUGGGCGUAACGCAGAGGGUGCUUCCGAAACUACCGGGCUAGAGUGCGAGAGAGGCGAGUGGAAUUGCGGGGGUAGCGGUGAAAUGCGUAGAUAUCCGCAGGAACAUCCGAGGCGAAAGCGGCUUGCUGGAUCGCAACUGACGCUGAGGGACGAAAGCUAGGGGAGCAAACAGGAUUAGAUACCCCGGUAGUC
rnacentral:rRNA from 1 species